UUUGGUCAGGCAGCGCGUCAGCUUCCCAUAAGUGCAAGAAUUUGACUUCUGUAGGGUGACUGCGGAAGGAUCAUUAUGCACAUGUGGGACGCUAAUGCGUUUCCCUGACCCAAACCCUUUCUGCGUACCAAUCCAUGUUGCUUUCCCAGGUCGUUUGGUGCUAGUGGCCAAUCGAUGUUACCUGCUAGCUGAACGAGCUAUGGAGGACCCUGGGAAAGGACUCAUCCAAAGCGAAUCAUUGAAUCAGCUGUCUGAGUUGGCCUAGUGCCAUUAUUAUUUGAACAAGUUAAAACUUUCAACAACGGAUCUCUUGGCUCUCGCAUCGAUGAAGAACGCAGCGAAAUGCGAUAAGUAAUGUGAAUUGCAGAAUUCAGUGAAUCAUCGAAUCUUUGAACGCACAUUGCGCCCCUUGGUAUUCCUUGGGGCAUGCCUGUUCGAGCGUCACUGCAAACCCGCUCAUGAAUAUUAUCAUGGUAUUGAUGGAAGUGAACUGGGACUACAACUGUGCCCGGAUCACUCUGUCGAAAUGCAUAGGCAGGACAAUUAGCCUCUGCAAGGGACUUAGUAGCUGUUUUGAAGACAAAAACCAGUCCUGCGCAAGGUUCGGACCUGGCCUCCAUGGACCUCCAUCUAAGAUGAACUCUGGGUUGACCUCGGAUCAUGUAGGGAUACCCGCUGACUUAAGCAUAUCAAUAAGCGGAGGA
rnacentral:rRNA from 1 species